UUUAAAGAGAGUUUGAUCCUGGCUCAGGACGAACGCUGGCGGCGUGCCUAAUACAUGCAAGUCGAACGAACGGACGAAGAGCUUGCUCUUCCAAAGUUAGUGGCGGACGGGUGAGUAACACGUGGGCAACCUGCCUGUAAGUUGGGGAUAACUCCGGGAAACCGGGGCUAAUACCGAAUGAUAAAGUGUGGCGCAUGCCACG
rnacentral:rRNA from 1 species